rnacentral:rRNA from 1 species
UACGUAGGGGCCGAGCGUUGUCCGGAGUUAUUGGGCGUAAAGCGCGCGCAGGCGGCUUGGCGCGCCCGACGUGAAAGCCCCCGGCUUAACCGGGGAGGGUCGUCGGGUACGGUCAGGCUUGAGGGCGGGAGAGGGUGGUGGAAUUCCCGGUGUAGUGGUGAAAUGCGUAGAGAUCGGGAGGAACACCUGUGGCGAAGGCGGCCACCUGGGCCGAUACUGACGCUGAGGAGCGAAAGCGUGGGGAGCGAACAGG